rnacentral:rRNA from 1 species
AUGAACGCUAGCGGCAGGCCUAAUACAUGCAAGUCGAACGAGAUUAAGAGGCUUGCUUCUUAUGAAAGUGGCGCACGGGUGCGUAAUGCGUAUGCAACCUACCUUAAUCAGGGGGAUAGCCCGAAGAAAUUCGGAUUAAGACCGCAUAAAAACACAGGAUAGCAUUAUCCAAUGUUCAAAUAUUUAUAGGAUUAAGAUGGGCAUGCGUGUCAUUAGCUAGUUGGCGGGGUAACGGCCCACCAAGGCGACGAUGACUAGGGGAUCUGAGAGGAUGACCCCCCACACUGGUACUGAGACACGGACCAGACUCCUACGGGAGGCAGCAGUAAGGAAUAUUGGUCAAUGGAGGGAACUCUGAACCAGCCAUGCCGCGUGCAGGAAGACAGCCCUCUGGGUCGUAAACUGCUUUUAGUCGGGAAUAAACCUUUCUACGUGUAGGAAGCUGAAUGUACCGAAGGAAUAAGGAUCGGCUAACUCCGUG